GUACCCUCAAGCUUUGCUUGGUGUUGGGCGUUUUUGUCUCUGGUCCGCCAGCGACUCGCCUUAAAAUCAUUGGCAGCCGGCCUACUGGUUUCGGAGCGCAGCACAAAUUUGCGCUUCUUCCAGCAGCGGUCCGCGUCCAUGAAGCCACUUUUUCAAC
rnacentral:misc_RNA from 1 species